rnacentral:ncRNA from 2 species
AAUUAGUUUCAGGGGUGGUGAAAGUCCACACCGGAGGUGAGCAGCAGUUUCUGUUAUGCUGUAAGUCCUCGAACGCCUCGCCAGUGUGCCCGGCGCCGAACGGGUGAGAAACCCGUACCGACGGUAUAGUCCGGAUGAAAGAAACGACAU